GACGAACGCUGGCGGCGUGCUUAACACAUGCAAGUCGAACGAAGAGCGAUGGAAGCUUGCUUCUAUCAAUCUUAGUGGCGAACGGGUGAGUAACGCGUAAUCAACCUGCCCUUCAGAGGGGGACAACAGUUGGAAACGACUGCUAAUACCGCAUACGAUCUAAUCUCGGCAUCGAGGAUAGAUGAAAGGUGGCCUCUACAUGUAAGCUAUCACUGAAGGAGGGGACUGCGUCUGAUUAGCUAGUUGGAGGGGUAACGGCCCACCAAGGCGAUGAUCAGUAGCCGGUCUGAGAGGAUGAACGGCCACAUUGGGACUGAGACACGGCCCAGACUCCUACGGGAGGCAGCAGUGGGGAAUCUUCCGCAAUGGACGAAAGUCUGACGGAGCAACGCCGCGUGAGCGAUGACGGCCUUCGGGUUGUAAAGCUCUGUUAAUCGGGACGAAAGGCCUCCUUGCGAAUAGUGAGAAGGAUUGACGGUACCGGAAUAGAAAGCCACGGCUAACUACGUG
rnacentral:rRNA from 1 species